UCAAUAUUUACCGCAGGAGAAGGGUCUGGAAAGGCCAGCAAUAAAGGGUGAUAGCCCCGUAUCUGAAACGGUAAGUGUUGUGAACUCGAAGAGUAAGGCGGGACACGUGUUAUCCUGUCUGAAUAUGGGGGGACCAUCCUCCAAGGCUAAAUACUACUGACUGACCGAUAGUAAACCAGUACCGUGAGGGAAAGGCGAAAAGAACCCCGGCGAGGGGAGUGAAAUAGAACCUGAAACCGUGUACGUACAAGCAGUGGGAGCACCCGACAGGGUGUGACUGCGUACCUUUUGUAUAAUGGGUCAGCGACUUAUAUUCUGUAGCAAGGUUAACCGCAUAGGGGAGCCGUAGGGAAACCGAGUCUGAACUGGGCGUUAAGUUGCAGGGUAUAGACCCGAAACCC
rnacentral:rRNA from 1 species